UUCUGCCAGUCCCCUUCAGACA
rnacentral:miRNA from 1 species